rnacentral:rRNA from 1 species
AUUGAACGCUGGCGGCAUGCCUAACACAUGCAAGUCGAACGGUAACGGCAGACACAAUCCUUUGGGUGCGUGUCCGGACGACGAGUGGCGGACGGGUGAGUAAUGCUUGGGAAUUUGCCUAGUAGUGGGGGACAACACGGGGAAACUCGUGCUAAUACCGCAUACGCCCUACGGGGGAAAGCGGGGGAUCUUCGGACCUCGCGCUAUUAGAUGAGCCCAAGUCGGAUUAGCUUGUUGGUGAGGUAAUGGCUCACCAAGGCCGCGAUCCGUAGCUGGUCUGAGAGGACGAUCAGCCACACUGGGACUGAGACACGGCCCAG